rnacentral:rRNA from 1 species
CCGGUACUCAGUUCGGAUCGCAGUCUGCAACUCGACUGCGUGAAGGUGGAGUCGCUAGUAAUCGCGGAUCAGCACGCCGCGGUGAAUACGUUCCCGGGCCUUGUACACACCGCCCGUCACACCAUGGAAGUCUGCAAUGCCCGAAGCCGGUGGCCUAACCACUUAUGUGGAAGGAGCCGUCUAAGGCAGGGCAGAUGACUGGGGUGAAGUCGUAACAAGGUAAC